ACAUGAAAAUAGAAGACAAAGCUUGGCCAAAAGUGGAAAACAACUCACUCCGUCCUGAGUAUAUACGAGUCAAUAGAAAGAAAAAGUAGUGUUUGAGUCGACUCCAUUCCAUGAGUCAACAGAAGCUGAGACUUUUUGUUGCAAUGUCACAAUCACUGGCAAGGCUACUUGGUUUCUGCAUGACCUCUCCAGCUCCACGAUGACUCCAGAGACUGCACCAUGUCUGUGAAUUUCGCAACCCCCAGAGGACAGGAUCCGAGGCAAGCUCGCGUGUACAUCUGAGUGCAGAAUUUGAUAAGGGUCUAUCUCAAAGAUCUUUGCACAGAUCAUGGGCAUUUCCGUGUGAAAUAUUUCAAUUUUGAAUUCACGCAGGAAAGGCAGACUGACUUACAAGGCUUGGAUAUUUUCUACUCGGAUGCCAUUUUACUGGAUCGAGAUAAUCCACUUAUUUCUCAGGAAAGUCGUACUGGGGCUUUGUUGCCUCUCCGUUCUCUCUCUGCUCCCAGGACAUGCAUCCCUUCCACAGCAGAGCAGAACACCACCUCUGGGCAGCACAAAGAAGCCGCAGUUUAUGGUCUCUCUGGAAGCCAACAAGAAAAGCCCAGAAUCUGUAAAGGUUAAAAAAGUUAGACUUUGCCUCAUACACCCACCCCUGCACAGCUCAAAAUGGAUACAG
rnacentral:lncRNA from 1 species